GAGGUAUGGCGGGUUCCCCUCCAUUGUGCGCGGACGCGACGGGGCAGCACCGGCAGUUGAUGAUGUGGCAAGGAGCCGUGGCGUGACAGAGCCCUCCCACUGUGGACAAUUUCCAACCAUUACUAAUUUAAUUGGGAAACUAAACAAUUAUAAAAGCUACUUAAAAGAAAGUGUUACACUAUCCACACAUUUUCUAUCUCCAUCUUCACAUUUUCAGUUGGAAAUUUCAAGUUGAAGACCCAAGUUUUCCACCUCCAAUCUGCACAAAGCAAGUUGAGUUGGGAGAAUGGUUAUGGAUGACUGUUGACCUGAAAACGGAGUUAGAAAAGGGGUGAAGGUGUUAGUCCAAAGGGAUUUUGAAUUGUAGACUUGUUGGUUGUGCCCCUAGUAGAUGGAGGUGUGGGGGUAGAAGCUCUUGAAUUCUCUGCAAAACGCUAGAAGUCGAGAGCUUCCUUAUCUGCAGUUUCCAUUCUAGAGGCUUGUGCGCGAGAUUGCACAUGACUUCUAGAUGGAUCUGAGGUUCUAGAGCGCUGCAUUUAAAUGUCGUUGGAAUGAGUAGGGUCGGGUCAGAUGGAAAAUUUGCACAACCCGUCAAAGUUCAUGAUAUUGCGACUAUUUUUGAAGUAUACUGUAAAAACUAGAAGAGGCCUAAGUUGGUGAUUUUAGCUGGUAUUUGCCUCUUUAUAGUAAAUGGUGGAGAGCACACAGUCCUAGCACUUUAAUAAGUUAAGUUAUGAUUGAUAGAGGCCAAAUUAUCUUAUUUGUGGAGAAUCAAUGGAGUGUAGGAAGCAAAAUUAUCCACACAUAUACUCCCUCCGUCCCAGAUAAUUCGACCCAAUAUUCCAUUUCGGACCGUCCCACAUAAUUUGUCCCACUUCAUUUUUACCAUUUUUGAUAAUGGACCCCAUAUUCCAUUAAC